CAGAUUUAAUUGUUGUCAGUUUACUUCUGAAGAUAAAAUAGGUUGUCUUUUUUGUCCUUCAUCUCUGAACAUCUCCACUCCCAUUGUUGUCUGCGGAAAAGUGCCAGGCCUCAAUGUAAAUAGAUUAGGAGUCAUUCACAUCCCCCUGGUCUGUGGCGUGGUCCUUUCUAGAACCUCAGGGUUGGUAUACAUAGGCCUACUCAAUAUAUAUAUAUAUAUACAUAUAUAUAUGUGUAUAUAUAUAUAGGGCCAAGGUUAGUUCCCUAUAUAACGCAUAUAUAACACACUGUAGUAUAUCAAUACAAUACAUUCAGCGGUAGUAGGCAGCUGUUUAAAGUAGGAAACAACAAGAAACACAUUAUAAAUGUGUCAUUGCGCUGUAUGAUUUUCAAAAGGAAUUGUAUUUAUUUUUUAGAUUUUCUUUUCUACAUGAUUUCCUCGAAAUGUAUUUUUCUAAAGGGUGCAUUUUGACCUCGCAUUCUCUCCUCUUUGCCAACCAACUGUUGACGGUCCCUGGAGAACGACAGCACCACCUAGUGUUGGGGAUCCUUUCAACGUGCUCACAUUAAGACCAACAGUCACUUACCGCUGCCAAAAUGUGUUGUUGUACGUCGUUGUCGAACGUUGCACAAAGAUAAUGAGAAAAAAGGUUAGAUAGUUUACAAGAGUAAUAUAUGGAUUUGUGUGUAUUUAUCAUCCACACUUCUUUUGACUGUAACGUAUUGUGUGUCGCAAAACGUGCGGUCCUAAUUGUAGACAGGCACUUUGGGACACAACCGUGCGCUGUGUGUUUACUUCGUUUUCGUUUGGUCUUUCGCUUUAUACUCACAUCUAACUCCGCGGUUGCCUCACUUUUUGCUUACAUCCUGCGUUUUUAGGGGCUUUUCAUUCAGCCGUCACAAACUCAACAUGCAUCUGCUUCCCUAAAGACGCCUUCACACCAAAAAAGGGGCGGGGAAAAGCCAUAAAAAGUUAAACGCGUCUUUGCAAAUACAUCAAACACGUUCACAGAGGCAAACUUUUCACCCGAAAAUGUGCGGAUUGAUGCAAGGUGCAGCUCAAACACCCAGGUUCACACUGAUUUUGCGUGAUUCUACUCGCGAGAACCCUUCGCUCGAGUGGAAAUAUUUAAACUUUUCCGCGUAUUUCGCCUGAUGCUGGGUCGUCUCGUCACAGCCAAUCAGCGUUCACUCCCUGAGCUGAGGUCCAGAGUGAACCGCAGCAUGGAGGAGAAAGUUAUUGUUGCUGUUUGCGACUCCCGUUGCUCUAUAUCUAUGUGAUAUAUUAUAUAAUAUCACGGUCAAAAGCGGAUGAUAUUAUGAAUCUUAAACGACUGCGUCAGGUUCUCCGACGUCUCUUGUACUUCCAGAACGUUAAGUAAAUGCUCAUAGUGGUUUAUUAUCUUGGCCAUGGUUGUGAUUUAAUUGCCGAAAUAAAACGUAAUUGGUCAUAAGAGGAAGUCCCUCCUAUUACACUAAGGCAAGUAAAUCCAACUCAUGCAAAUCACUCGAGCGAGUACAAUUUUUCUACUCGCGCGAGCAAACUCAGACUUUGUUUUUGGUGUGAACGCACGAUAAGGGAUUAUGGUGCGUUCCAGAGCCCAUACAAACCUGUGGGCCGUGGGACUUAUCCUACCUCCAAAUAAGAAAAGUGCACUGGAAUGCCUGUCGAAGUGGAACAUCCCACCGUCGAAGUGGAACCUCAUACUAGCGAACUGGGGGGUGAUCGACCUAUCACCAAGGAGCUAGUACAGUUCAGGUAGGAUAAGUCCCACAUCCCAUUGCUUUGGAUGGGCUCUGGAACGCACCAAUAGUCCUGGUUUGCUUGUGGCUAUGAACCAAUAAACAGGACCUUAAAGAUGGGGCAACACUGCUGUAGCUCCUUGGGUUAGCUGUGCAGGCUACAGAGCACUAUGAUAUAGACUGCUAAGUUAAUCACAUGCACCUGUUUACAUUAAAGUUCUGAUUGCAGAAACUGGUUACCAUCUAGUUUCUACAACCUUUGUAAAAUCUAGUCAAGCUAAUCAAUUUCUUUGUUUAAUUAAUAAAUAAUCUUGAGUUUUUUCGUUUUGCAGUUCUAAAUAUCAACGGUUUGCCCAUGUAUUAUCUUUUUUUCCAUCAGUCCAUAUCUUUAAUCAUCACUGAUUUACCGACACAGAUAAAAGGUAUCAUCAUGGAAAUAGUAUUUACUUACAUGACUCACAAUUACAUGAAAUACUCAAUAUGUCUACUUACUGCAAGGAUAUUGUUGUAAAUAUUAAAGAAUUACACUAUGAAUUGUCUGAAUAAUUGGAGUUAUUAGGUCUUAAGUCUC
ensembl:lncRNA